rnacentral:rRNA from 1 species
AAUGAACGCUGGCGGCGUGGUUAAGACAUGCAAGUCGAACGGGCUUUCCGGUGUAGCAAUACAUUGGAAAGCCAGUGGCGAACGGGUGCGUAACACGUGAACAAUCUACCAUCGAGUGUGGAAUAGCUCGCCGAAAGGCGAAUUAAUACCACAUGUGGUUGGCUCCCGCAUGGGAGACAUACUAAAGCCGGGGACCGCAAGGCCUGGCGCUGGAUGAGGACUUCGCGGCCUAUCAGCUAGUUGGUGAGGUAAUGGCUCACCAAGGCUAAGACGGGUAGCUGGUCUGAGAGGAUGGUCAGCCACACUGGAACUGAGACACUGUCCAGACAUCUACGGAUGGCUGCAGUCGAGAAUCUUUCGCAAUGGGGGAAACCCUGACGAAGCGACGCCGCGUGGAGGAUGAAGGUCUUCGGAUUGUAAACUCCUGUCGGCCGGGAAGAAAAGCCUACAAUUAAUAAUUGUAGGUCUUGACGGUACCGGCAAAGGAAGCCACGGCUAACUCUGUGCCAGCCGCCGCCGUAACAC